CAGCACUGACCUCCCAGCACAGGAGGAGGCAGAAGCGAUAAUAAACAGCCGGGACCGGGGCUGGAUAGAAAGUGACAUGACGGACAUGACAGGUCAAAUACUGAAACAUGCAUUGGGGUUGACGCAGCGGAGCGCUGAGAACACUCUUCCCCCUCAGGAACUGCACCGGGAAGGUUGGUUCCGCCUGUCAGUCUGUUCCGGGUCCCGGCGGCUUCAUUCGGAAGAUUUCUUCAUGAGAUUCGUGCAAAAAUGAAUAAAAAUAGCUGACACCUACA